AAACGGGCAUUCUAACCCUCAGGAAUUAAAAAACAAUAUUUUUAAAAAGAUCAAAACGAUCUGAUUUUUUAAAUUAAAUCAGAUUAUUUUAAUUUAAAUCAAGAGUAUUUUAAAAAUUGUAAUGUAAAAUAUAAUAAAUAAAAAAAAAUAUUGGGAAGUAUUUUUUCGGAUUAUGAAGCCGUUUUAUUUAUAAACUUCAACUAAAAAGUGUACAUGAUGUAAGGAAAGUUUUUAUUCACUGUGAAAAACGGAAUUUAGAAUUAUCAGAAAAUUAUUUGUGCAUCAAUAGUGAAAAUGAGCAUCAUCUUUAAGAGCAUCAAAUUCACCAUGUCAUUACUGUCUAGGCGGUGCCACGAUUUCAACAUGAUUUCUCUCUUUUACUCUAUAAAAUUUACUUUACUAUUUUAUUAAAUUACCAUUUUAUUAGAAUUAUUUUAUUGUAAUUUGAAAAUUUUUUAAAAUGAAAGAUAUUUUUUGAAUUUUUAAAUUUUA